UGCUACUCUCAAUUGCAUUCGAUUGUUAUCAUGAUCACAGCCGCUGUAAAGUCUUUUAAUUUCAUUAAAAACAACUGGAUUUCGCAUUAAAAAUUCUUUUCAAGCCUCUCAAAAAGUCACACGGAGAGCAUUCGAAUGUCAUUUUUUGUUCCUUUUCGUCACAAUACUUUCUGCCCAACUAUAAUGGAGCUUCAACAAAUCCUAGAGCGAGUAAAUAUCGUCAAUGUUGAUUGAUGGUGACACCAUCGAAUUCAAUUAGAUGCGAUACACCAGCAGUGCAUACGAAAAUACUGCUUUACGUUCGCAGAACAACCAGAGAGAAAAAAAAAUGAAGAACAAUGUGUAUUGUGUGUA